CCUACGGGGUGCACCAGUGGGGAAUCUUGCGCAAUGGGCGAAAGUCUGACGGAGCAACGCCGCGUGAGUGAUGAAGGCUUUCGGGUCGUAAAACUCUGUUGUUAGGGAAGAACAAGUGCUAGUUGAAUAAGCUGGCACCUUGACGGUACCUAACCAGAAAGCCACGGCUAACUACGUGCCUGCAGCCGAGGUAAUACGUAGGUGGCAAGCGUUAUCCGGAAUUAUUGGGCGUAAAGCGCGCGCAGGUGGUUUCUUAAGUCUGAUGUGAAAGCCCACGGCUCAACCGUGGAGGGUCAUUGGAAACUGGGAGACUUGAGUGCAGAAGAGGAAAGUGGAAUUCCAUGUGUAGCGGUGAAAUGCGUAGAGAUAUGGAGGAACACCAGUGGCGAAGGCGACUUUCUGGUCUGUAACUGACACUGAGGCGCGAAAGCGCGGGGAGCAAACAGGAUUAGAUACCCGGGUAGUC
rnacentral:rRNA from 1 species